rnacentral:rRNA from 1 species
UUACGUUAAGUAGCAAGGUUAAGCACUUAAGGUGCGGAGCCGUAGCGAAAGCGAGUUUUAACUGAGCGUUCAGUUACUUGACGUAGACCCGAAACCGGGCGACCUACCCAUGAGCAGGAUGAAGCGAAAGUAAAAUUUCGUGGAGGUCCGAACCCACGAGCGUUGAAAAGCUCGGGGAUGACUUGUGGGUAGCGGUGAAAUUCCAAUCGAGCCCGGAGAUAGCUGGUUCUCCCCGAAAUAGCUUUAGGGCUAGCCUCAAGGUGAGAGAUACGGAGGUAGAGCACUGAAUGUCCUAGGGGGUAUUGCACCUACCGAAGACUAUCAAACUCCGAAUGCCGUCAUCUUAUACUUGGGAGUCAGACUGUGGGUGAUAAGAUUCAUAGUCGAAAGGGCAACAGCCCAGAUCGUCAGCUAAGGUCCCUAAAUGUAAGUUAAGUGGUAAAGGAUGUGGGAUUGCACAGACAACCAGGAUGUUGGCUUAGAAGCAGCCACUCAUUCAAAGAGUGCGUAAUAGCUCACUGGUCGAGUGAUCCUGCGCCGAAGAUUUCCGGGGCUAAAACUUACUACCGAAGCUACGGCAUCAGUAAUGAUGGGUAGGGGAGCUUCCCAUACGGGUUGAAGCAUGACCGUAAGGACAUGUGGACAGUAUGGGAGUGAGAAUGUUGGCAUGAGUAGCGAGAUGUGGGUGAGAAUCCCACAGGCCGUAAACCCAAGG